GAUAUCCUCUUCUUGUACACGCCGGGGAUAUCUCCGCUCCAUGGAAUAAGCGAUCCAUCAUUACCUCGACGCCCCACCUUCUCCCAUGGCAUAAAGAUGUUGGAGAGAUCGGUUCUUCGAGUCUCAGCCAGUUAGCGAGGCGAUGGCUUCUCCGCUUCCCGUGCUCCGCCUUCCCCUGCCUACUCUUCCUUUCCCCUCGUCGAGCGUAGCAGCUCAGAAGCCAAAUCCCUCCGCUGCUCUUCCCAGAUCCACGGGAAGCUCCUCCUCGCUCACUCUUUUUCCAAUCUCUUGCAUCUAAAAUGUCUCUCUCCUUUUUCGAUUUCUUCGCUUCCUGUGGCUCACGUGCUUCGAAGUUUUAAUCUUUAUCUCCACUAACUCUUACUCCGUUUAUCUCUGCUGGAACAGGUGCAAUGGCCAAUGCCAAACCAAUGUCUGACGACCGGACUUCGUGGGUUUUCCAGGUCUGAUGGCGGGAUAUGCCUCGUUCCGCUUGCGAUGAGUGCAGCAGCUUCUGGAGGUUCUGAUGGUUCGACGAGAUUAACUAUGGGUCCCAUCCGUAAGUUGUUCGAUGGAUUUCCUCAACCAAUUAAAAGCUUUCCGUGGAAGAAAGUGAUAUCGAUAUCUCAGCGUGCCUCUUCUAGCUGUGGCAUGCCUCAGCGAGAUGUCAUACUGUGUCCAUGAUAGAAAGAUGGGUGUGAUACCGAUUCCAUUCAUUGUCGGGUUUACUCUUGCUGGGGUUCUUAAGAAUACAGCGGAGGAGGUUCUGUCAGAUCUCAAGGAAGAAGGGUUUCCCUGGUAUUUGUUUCUGAUUGUGAGCUUCUUCACAUUACUCAAAUUGCCUGGCCCAUAUUAUCCAUACUGGGGCCGGUUAUUGAUUCCUCACUUUGCUAAUGGUGGUCUUUGGAGGACUGUUUGGCUAAUAUUUGUGGUAUAAAGGGCCUAAUGUGACACCUGAAGCUUCCUUAUAGGCUGUUGUUUAUAGAUGGAUGCCUUAUCUCUUUAUGGUGUAAGCAACAGAUUAUGUAGCUCUUGUUUUCAUAAUUCAAAAAAGCUACGCAUGAUUUGUGUUUGGCAAAGUUCACCGGUGGUGUCAGAUUCUUGUUUGGUUGUCCAUUUGUGAUGCCAUCAUAGCAAGGGAUCAAAGGACAGGCUGUUGCGUUUCUGGCCCUAGUCCAAGAUGCAUCGAUGAGGGAGCAUGCGGAAGUCGGUCCAUGCGAAGUGGGACCUCAUGGAAACCAUCAGCAGAUUCUUUGAUCCCAAUUGGAUACAAUCUUGGAUAUCAUCCUCGCUGCAGUCCGAAGAAGGAAACCAUCAGUUUGAACUAAGUGGGAGGACAGGAACUUGGAGACUGACUCUACUUUUUCCGGAUUCAACAGCUACUACGAACUCCAAUUCAUCAUGCAGUCUCGUCAUCAUCAUCAUCAUGCACCAUAUUCACAUUGAUCGGAGAGCAAGUAAUCUCAGCUGCCUAAUGUUUAUAAUGGAUUGGGCAUUUGCCUUUGGAAAUUCUUGCUUACGCUCGAACACGAAGCUAAUGCUCUGCUGCAAAGUCGAAUACUUGGAUGUUUCUGCAUUGUGUCAUGAAUCAGAAAGAGGAAAUUAGCAUCCAUGACCUGGACAGUGAUAAACCUGGAGCAUAAUACUUAUAUAUGACUAGUGGUGGGAUCGAUCCGAGUGACAUUUUAACCUUGAGAAGGCCAUCGAUCUUUGUUGUUAGUUGUGACUCUGUCUGUACAUGGAUACACCUCCGAGGAGGACAUGGAAAUUUGACAUGAAAGGAUAAGCUGUGAAAGCAUUGCAAAUCUUGAAAGGCAAAAGAGAAAGUUUUGGGUUCUUACGAACAA